GACGAACGCUGGCGGCGUGCCUAAUACAUGCAAGUCGAACGCUUCUUUCCUCCCGAGUGCUUGCACUCAAUUGGAAAGAGGAGUGGCGGACGGGUGAGUAACACGUGGGUAACCUACCCAUCAGAGGGGGAUGACACUUGGAAACAGGUGCUAAUACCGCAUAACAGUUUAUGCCGCAUGGCAUAAGAGUGAAAGGCGCUUUCGGGUGUCGCUGAUGGAUGGACCCGCGGUGCAUUAGCUAGUUGGUGAGGUAACGGCUCACCAAGGCCACGAUGCAUAGCCGACCGGAGAGGGUGAUCGGCCACACUGGGACUGAGACACGGCCCAGACUCCUACGGGAGGCAGCAGUAGGGAAUCUUCGGCAAUGGACGAAAGUCUGACCGAGCAACGCCGCGUGAGUGAAGAAGGUUUUCGGAUCGUAAAACUCUGUUGUUAGAGAAGAACAAGGACGUUAGUAACUGAACGUCCCCUGACGGUAUCUAACCAGAAAGCCACGGCUAACUACGUG
rnacentral:rRNA from 1 species